GACGUAGGGAGCAAGCGUUGUCCGGAUUUACUGGGCGUAAAGGGCGCGUAGGCGGUCUGUUAAGUGAGUACUGAAAUCUCCAGAGCUCAACUCGGAAACUGGUUCUCAUACUGGCAGACUGGAGGAACGCAGAGGUGACUGGAAUUCCUGGUGUAGCGGUGAAAUGCGUUGAUAUCAGGAGGAACUCCAAUGGCGAAGGCAGGUCACUGGGCGUUAUCUGACGCUGAGGCGCGAAAGCGUGGGUAGCAAACAGG
rnacentral:rRNA from 1 species